CGCUGGGAGACAUGGAGCCUUUCCCUUUUUGGGCACAGGGUCUGCCGACAGAAAAGGAUCUCCAUCUCAGGCUGUGCUGCUGCCCUGCCAGCCAAACCCACAGAGAGAUCUGUCUCCCCUCCUGUGCCUGGAGAUCCUGCUGGCUGCCCUCUUCUGCACCUGAGGAUAUUGGUGGCAGACUUCAAAACUGCUGCUCUAGGAGGGAGCCAUAUUUCCUCCUGGAGAGGCUCCAAAAGCACCUUGACGAGCACCCAUUGUCGCUAAAUUCAACCCCAUCUUGAAAAGAGCUGCAUGGAAGUGGGUGUCAGGGCAGACAUUUUGUACUAAUAACAAUAAUUUUGUACUAAUACUGUGUUGCAGUAGGGAAGACAGAAAUGACUAAUUAAAACACUGGGGAGAUAGUCAA